AUUGAACGCUGGCGGCAGGCUUAACACAUGCAAGUCGAGCGAGCGGCGGACGGGUGAGAAAUGUCUGGGAAAAUGCCUGAUGGAGGGGGUUAACUACUGGAAACAGUAGCUAAUACCGCAUACCAUCAGAUGUGCCCAGAUGGGAUUAGCUAGUAGGUGGGGUAAUGGGUCACCUAGGCGACGAUCCCUAGCUGGUCUGAGAGGAUGACCAGCAACACUGGAACUGAGACACGGUCCAGACUCCUACGGGAGGAAGCAGUGGGGAAUAUGGCACAAUGGGCGAAAGCCUGAUGCAGCCAUGCCGCGUGUGGGAAGAAGGCCUUCGGGUUGUAAAGCACUUUCGGCGAGGAGGCGUUACUCGCAGAAUAAGCACCGGCUAACUCCGUGCCAGCAGCCGCGGUAAUUC
rnacentral:rRNA from 1 species